rnacentral:misc_RNA from 1 species
AGCCAACAAGUUGUUGGUUAAACAAGAACGAGAAAUAAGUUUCACCCUUAUUAGAAUGCUAUCCUUCUGGAAGUCCACUAUUAAUUGACACUGAAAUGGAAGAUAGAACCAAGAAAUUUGGACCUAUACUUGAACUUCCUUUCUUCUAAAACACAGAACCCAAAAACCACUUCCAACCCAACACUCAAAACUUCCACUUCCAGUUAGUCCAAAACAAAAGUAAAUUAAAUCUAAUAAGAAACGAGAGUCUUUACUUACCUCUUAAAACAUGCUUCAAUGGAU